ACGCUGACAGAAUGCUUAACACAUGCAAGUCUUUGGCGAAGCUGUGCUUGCACAGCCUAGCCAAGGCGGACGGGUGAGUAACGCGUAAGGAACUUGCCCUGCAGUCAGGGAUAACAGACGGAAACGACUGAUAAGACCUGGUAAAGUCAGGCGGACUCAUGUCCAGCCUGAUGAAAGGAGAUGCUGCAGGAGAGCCUUGCGUCCUAUUAGCUUGUUGGUGGGGUAACGGCCCACCAAGGCGAUGAUAGGUAGCCGGCCUGAGAGGGUGGACGGCCACAAGGGGACUGAGAUACGGCCCUUACUCCUACGGGAGGCAGCAGUGGGGAAUAUUGGACAAUGGGGGCAACCCUGAUCCAGCAAUUCUGUGUGCACGAUGAAGGUUUUCGGAUUGUAAAGUGCUUUCAGCAGGGAAGAAAAAAAUGACGGUACCUGCAGAAGAAGCGACGGCUAAAUACGUGCCAGCAGCCGCGGUAAUACGUAUGUCACAAGCGUUAUCCGGAAUUAUUGGGCAUAAAGGGCAUCUAGGCGGCCAGAUAAGUCUGGGGUGAAAACUUGCGGCUCAACCGCAAGCCUGCCCUGGAAACUAUGUGGCUAGAGUACUGGAGAGGUGGACGGAACUGCACGAGUAGAGGUGAAAUUCGUAGAUAUGUGCAGGAAUGCCGAUGAUGAAGAUAGUUCACUGGACGGUAACUGACGCUGAAGUGCGAAAGCUAGGGGAGCAAACAGGAUUAGAUACCCUGGUAGUCCUAGCUGUAAACGAUGAUUACUGGGUGUGGGCAUGAAGAGUGUCCGUGCCGAAGCUAAUGCGAUAAGUAAUCCGCCUGGGGAGUACGGCCGCAAGGCUGAAACUCAAAGGAAUUGACGGGGACCCGCACAAGCGGUGGAGCAUGUGGUUUAAUUCGACGC
rnacentral:rRNA from 1 species